rnacentral:rRNA from 1 species
GAUGAACGCUGGCGGCGUGCCUAAUACAUGCAAGUCGAGCGAACAGAUGAGGAGCUUGCUCCUCUGACGUUAGCGGCGGACGGGUGAGUAACACGUGGAUAACCUACCUAUAAGACUGGGAUAACUUCGGGAAACCGGAGCUAAUACCGGAUAAUAUAUUGAACCGCAUGGUUCAAUAGUGAAAGACGGUUUUGCUGUCACUUAUAGAUGGAUCCGCGCCGCAUUAGCUAGUUGGUAAGGUAACGGCUUACCAAGGCAACGAUGCGUAGCCGACCUGAGAGGGUGAUCGGCCACACUGGAACUGAGACGCGGUCCAGACUCCUACGGGAGGCAGCAAUAGGGAAUCUUCCGCAAUGGGCGAAAGCCUGACGGAGCAACGCCGCGUGAGUGAUGAAGGUCUUCGGAUCGUAAAACUCUGUUAUUAGGGAAGAACAAAUGUGUAAGUAACUAUGCACGUCUUGACGGUACCUAAUCAGAAAGCCACGGCUAACUACGUG